rnacentral:rRNA from 1 species
GGACUACAGGGGUUUCUAAUCCCGUUUGCUCCCCUAGCCUUCGUGCCUCAGCGUCAGGAUCUGUCCAGAGAUUCGCCUUCGCCACUGGUCUUCCUCACGAUAUCUACGCAUUUCACUGCUACACCGUGAAUUCCAAUCUCCUCUCCAGUCCUCGAGUAAAGCAGUAUCGAAUGCAGUUCCGGGGUUGAGCCCCGGGAUUUCACAUCCGACUUACCUCACCGCCUACGCACCCUUUACGCCCAAUGAAUCCGAUCAACGCUUGAGACCUCUGUAUUACCGCGGCUGCUGGCAC